rnacentral:rRNA from 1 species
UACGGGGGGUGCAAGCGUUGUUCGGAAUCAUUGGGCGUAAAGCGCGUGUAGGCGGCUUGGCAAGUCAGUUGUGAAAGCCCGGGGCCCAACCCCGGAAUUGCAUCUGAAACUGCCUGGCUGGAGUCCCGGAGAGGAAGGCAGAAUUCCCGGUGUAGGGGUGAAAUCCGUAGAUAUCGGGAGGAAUACCAGCGGCGAAGGCGGCCUUCUGGACGGUGACUGACGCUGAGACGCGAAAGCGUGGGGAGCAAACAGG